rnacentral:lncRNA from 1 species
AUUUAAAAGCGAUCUUAAAAGUAAAAUGAAAAUUAUUUUCCUAAUGUUUUCCCUACUCCCAGCAUUCUCUCCAAAGAAAGACAAACUGGGCCGAGGAGUUACCUCAGCGGUUCCGCCGCCUGCCUCGCAAGUGCAAGGUCCCGAGUUCGAUCCCUGGUACCGGAAGAAAAGAAACAGUACAUGGGAUCCGAAACAAGAAAGGUUAAGUUUAACCGAUAAGACAGAGAAGAGUGAAAGUCACAGCCUGCGUCUCCAUUCCACGUACACAGGAGCUCGGGGUCAGAAUGCUUUUCUGUCAAGGUCAGAUAGGAUUUCAGCUCUGCAGGUAACUGAGUCUCUGUCAUAACUGCUGAGUCCCCAAAGUAGCCACAAACCAUAUAUAAAGAUGUGAAUACGUCUGUUAUAAUCAAAUUUUAUUUAUGGACACUGAAAUUUGAAUUUUCACAUAAUUUUGACUUUAGGAAAUAUUAGUCUCCCCCCCUACACACACACACACACUAUGGACUGAUCAGGGCCUUCACACCAAGCUGCAUCUCCGGCUCUUUUUAAUUAUUUGAUUUUGAGACAGGAUCUUGCUAAGUCAUUACAUGGCCCAAACUGGGUUCAAACUUGCCAUCCUCCUGCCUCAGCCUCCCAGACUGCUGUGAUUACAGGUAUGCACCACCAUGCCUGGCUUCUUUUGAUUUCUAUAAACCAUUCAGAAACAUAAAAAACAUAGCUUGUGAAUCGAGCCCUGCCCCAGAGAACUCACACACAUGAACAAAC